ACAAAAUCUUUCAAAAAAUUCCAAUUUAUUAAGCCGUUACAUCCCUCCGAAGCCUCUCCUUUACCUUCCCCAUCCCCUUCUCCUUCUCCUCCUCCCGUCUUAAAAAAACCAAUAAAACCAGCACUUCCAAACCCCUCUCUCUUUCUCUCUCAAUGUUCGCGGCAGCCGGCGGUCUCUCUCUGGUCUCCCGCCCCUACGGCAUCGAUGGCUCCUCCAACCCCUCCGUCUCGACCCCGGUGACUCCAUCUUGGUGCCGCCUCUCGCUUCGCAGGAGACUCUCCUCGGCAAGAUCCUCCUGCACGGCGAGGCUCGUGUCGUCUGGCAGCAGUGUCGAUCAGGAGGAAGCAUCAGGCGAGGGCUCGAAGACCGCCGAUGAAGACGCCCGCCAAGCUCGGAGGUCUGCUGAUUGGAGGGCAGCAAGGGCAUACAAAGACAGUGGUAUCAUCUUUGAUGGACGGAUUGAAGGAUUCAACAAUGGGGGGUUGCUGAUUCGGUUUUAUUCACUUCUCGGCUUUCUUCCAUACCCACUGCUGAGUCCAUCACAUUCAUGUAAAGAUCCACCGACAACCAUACAGGAUAUAGCAAAGGAUCUAGUAGGUUCAUCUAUUCCUAUGAAGGUACUUGAAGCAAAUGAGGAGGAAAAGAAACUAAUAUUCUCUGAAAAGGAUGCGGUUUGGUCAAAGUAUUCAAGCCAAGUCAAGGUCGGGGAUGUGUUUGAUGCAAGAGUGGGUUCAGUGGAAGACUAUGGUGCAUUUGUUCAUCUACGUUAUCCUGAUGGUUUCUAUUAUCUCACUGGACUUGUACAUGUCUCUGAGGUUUCUUGGGAUUUGGUUCAAGAUGUGAGAGAUUUUCUUAAUGAAGGAGACCAAGUGAGGGUCAAAGUGAUUCACAUAGAUAGAGAAAAGUCUAGGAUUACUCUCUCAAUCAAACAGUUAGAAGAUGAUCCUCUUUUGGAGACACUGGACAAAGUAAUUCCUCAGUAUAAAUGUCAACAGGAAGCCCAGGAAGAGUCUGAUGUGCUCAACAUGUCUUCGAACAUGAACAUUGAACCUCUUCCAGGACUUGAGAGCAUAUGUAAAGAACUAUUACAAGAGGAUGGGUAUGGUUGCAUGUCUCAUAACUGGUGUAAGACUUGGGCGGCAAGGACUGGAGAAGCGUGUGGUCUCACAGGACUUGGAACUUUGGCUUUCAAAUAUACCAGCCAAGGACAAACAGUUCACCCUCCUUGCUCGAGCCGGAAGACAGGUCCAGGAGGUGUAUUUGACUACCACACUUGACCAGGAUGGCAUAAAGAAAGCUGUACAGAGAGUAUUAGGUCGUGUUCCUUGAGCUUACAUGAUGUGGGAUUUGAAGUUUGAACACAGACUGUCAGGUUCUUAGCUAAGAUAGUUCUGGACAAGAGAAGAGCCUGCCAUGAAAGGAGAAGGCUGGUUGGGGUGGCCAGCUCUUUCAAGUUAUGUAGUUUAAACCCAUUCAACUGGAGAGGUUCUUUGAGACAGUGCAGACAAAAUGAGAAGAAUAUAUGUGUAAUAUAGCCUAUUGCCUUCAUUUUUGGGGCAUUACAAGCUAGAGAGCCAAAUUGAACAUAGUCCCAUUCAUGAGGAUGUUCAUAUAUGAGUCUUCUUCAGGUGAAGAUAAUGUUGUGUAGAGUUUGAUUUA